rnacentral:rRNA from 1 species
AGCCUGCCCAGUGACAUUGUUCANCGGNCGCGGUAUCCUAACCGUGCGAAGGUAGCGUAANCACUUGUUCUUUAAUUGUGGACUAGUAUGAAUGGCACCACGAGGGUUAUACUGUCUCCUUUUUCUAAUCAGUGAAACUAAUCUCCCCGUGAAGAAGCGAGGAUAAAAAUAUAAGACGAGAAGACCCUAUGGAGCUUUAAACAUCAUAGCAAUUACCAAUAAUUUUAGAAAUUUCCGAAUCAUUUAAUCCUUAAGGUAAUAUGACUAUAAGUUUUUGGUUGGGGUGACCGCGGAGCAUAAUGAAACCUCCAUGUUGAAUGAUAAAUUUCUUAGCUMAGAUCAACAUAUCUAAGCAUCAGCAANCUGACAUUCAUUGACCCAAUAUUNUUGAGCAACGAACCAAGNUACCCUAGGGAUAACAGCGCAAUCCACUUCAAGAGCUCCUAUCGACACAGUGGGUUUACGACCUCGAUGUUGGAUCAGGGUAUCCCAGUGGUGCAGCCGCUCNCU